rnacentral:rRNA from 1 species
UACGUAGGGUGCAAGCGUUAAUCGGAAUUACUGGGCGUAAAGGGUGCGCAGGCGGUUGUUUAAGUCCGAUGUGAAAUCCCCGGGCUCAACCUGGGAAUGGCAUUUGAGACUGGUGAGCUAGAGUGAGUCAGAGGGGGGUAGAAUUCCACGUGUAGCAGUGAAAUGCGUAGAGAUGUGGAGGAAUACCGAUGGCGAAGGCAGCCCCCUGGGAUGACACUGACGCUGAAGCACGAAAGCGUGGGGAGCAAACAGG